rnacentral:lncRNA from 1 species
AUUUGCCAUUUGCUACAGACGUGCUAAAUAGCAGCUCUCGUGGUAAAGAGAACGCUUCUGACCCGGGCCUGAUGAUUGCUUUUGUCACAAGAAGUGCAAGUUACUGUGUCCAACUGCUGAAUUUUAUUUGUAACUUAUCAGACGCACUUAUUUUCCCCAGUGCCAGCGCCAAGGAAGCAUAACUUUCAAAUAAUAACUCCAGCAAGAGAGAGACAUGCAGUAAGCAUGGUGAAACAAGCACCUCAGUUUAAAUCCCCCAAAUCCUUCACUAUGGCCAGUGCCAGAGAGCCUUUCUAUAGGAAUACAAUGUGAGCAGCUUCAGUGGGGCAUAUCUGCCGACCAGCCUGGGGUUAGAGCUGAGCACUACCUGAGUGAGUGGCAAGUUGACUGUAACAAGAGAUUCAAUAUCAGCCACUAUCAAUGAGAGUUGUAACUCAGGUGGUGAUUCUGGAACUGUGUCACUCUUCUAGUCUUCCAUUUUGGAAUGAAUGCAAGGUCUACCUCGUUUUUCAUACAAGGAAUUCUGCUGAAUUCAACUCUUCCCAAUGCCAGAGACCCCAAUUUAAAGCUGUGACUCACUGGCAGCACUUUAAGCCGCUACUGGAAAUUCUUAUAGAGUGAGGAAGAUAUUCAACUGACAAAGGCAUUUUCAGUCAUCAUAUUUUGUGGGUCCAGGCUUUCAAGUGUGAAGGUGAAAAUUUUGGAUAUGUGGAAGAAUAUCAGCUGGAUAAAAAUAAUACGCUGGUCUACAUCGCAGUUUGCAGGCCCUGGCAAGACUGGACCUGUCGUCCAGAUGGUUUACCUCAUGGUCAGGAAGAAGAGUCAUGCUGGCCCUCAGAUGAUUUAA